UUCUCUCCAAAUCUAUCCAAGUUGACUUUAUCGGGGACUAAACUUGAGGAAGACCCAAUGGAAACGUUAGAGAAUUUACCCAACUUAAAAAUCCUUUGCUUCCGUCGUGCGUUAGAGAAGUCACCUGACUCAAACCACCAAUACGUUGGACAUGGGAGCUUUAAUGGGUAGAAUAUGGUUUGUUCUGAAAGAGGAUUUCCUUUGCUUCAAUCUCUUCUCCUUUCUAACUUGUACUACUUAGAGGAGUGGAAGGUGGAGCAAGGAGCCAUGCCCAGUAUCUUUUGUUUGGAAAUUGAAUUUUGUGAUAGUUUGAAGAUGAUUCCUGAUGGAUUGAGGUUCAUCACAACCCUCCAGGAAUUGAAGAUCAAAAACAUGACAAAGUCAUUCACAGAUAGGCUUCACGAAGGAGGACUAGAUUUUGACAAAGUCAAACAUGUGCGUUCCCUUGUAUUCCAAUCUUAAGACAAAGAAUGAUAAUCGUUAGCAGCUAACAAGGUGAAAUCAUCCAUGGUCUGCUACUGGUACGGGAUAGUGUUAGUUAUACAAUUUCAAGGAUAUGAUUGCACCGACUCAUUAAACAUAUUCUCUGAUGCCUAUGUGUAGUGAUGUAAAGAAUUGUUUGUUUGGUGAUGGUACUCUGCGUUGUGAUAUUUUGUUGGGUGGUUUGUUUGCAUUUAUUUGCAUUGGUGUGUUUGUUUUAGUGUUUCUUUCUUGCUCCACUUUGCUGCUUUGCUAUGAUUGCGCUCUUUGUUCAUGUAUUAUGUUGUAUAAGAGAAACCAAUGUAUCAUUGGAGGAGAAAAAUAAUUCUUCAUUUAAUGUGGGAUUCCUCAUAUUUCUUCAAGUUA